rnacentral:tRNA from 1 species
GCACCUGUAGCUCAGUUGGUAGAGCGAUUGUCUUAUACACAAUUG